rnacentral:rRNA from 1 species
GCUCAGGAUGAACGCUAGCUACAGGCUUAACACAUGCAAGUCGAGGGGUAGCAGGGUAGCAAUACCGCUGACGACCGGCGCACGGGUGAGUAACACGUAUCCAACCUUCCCAUUACUCUGGGAUAGCCUUUCGAAAGAAAGAUUAAUACCGGAUAGUACAAUGAAUAGGCAUCUAUUUAUUGUUAAAGAUUUAUUGGUAAUGGAUGGGGAUGCGUUCCAUUAGAUUGUUGGUGAGGUAACGGCUCACCAAGUCUUCGAUGGAUAGGGGUUCUGAGAGGAAGGUCCCCCACAUUGGUACUGAGACACGGACCAAACUCCUACGGGAGGCAGCAGUGAGGAAUA